rnacentral:lncRNA from 10 species
CACGGUUGGGUAAUUACACACACACAGGCAUGUAGACAAGGCCCACAUGUACAGAACCCUGGCUUCCUGCUAAGGCCAGACUGUGGGGCCUGGUGAGCAUUCCAGACACAGAAUGCUGAGAAACGUUGCAGCCCCAGCCCAGCUACACCCGGGUGCAACGUGGAUGUAUCAGAAAACGACAACCCCAGAAAAGCGGGAAAGCCUCUGAGAAAUGGGACUGAAAUGGAACUGAACAUGUGAGCUGGGCUUGCUGUUGGGAAUUCUGACUUUGUUUUGGCAGAGGGGAGGGGAAAGGCAAAGCUAAAUCAGGAUCUUCUGCCUUCUCAAACUGUAGGAAGAAAUGAAAGUCAGGGAGGUGAAUGCAACUAGUCUGACAAUGAUCUAGUUUCAAGACUGCAAGUCUAUUUCACUUAUCGUGCGCAUGUAGAGGGAGGGCAGGCAGAGUGAUAAGGAAAAUGGGGAACUUACCUCUUCUUUUAGAGAUAUGUAAACACAUGUUCAACUGUUUUUUAAACAACAAUAUUCUUUGAAAUAAAUUCUGUUGUAUGUCUCUCCUUGGGAGACGGCACAGCACCAGAGACAGAGCUGUGGUUAGAGCCAGCCUCACACUCAAGAAAUUAAUUUAAAAUGUUUCUAAAUUAUUAUCCACCAAUUACAAUGAUUUACAAACAGCUCUGUAUAUAUUUUUAAAUAACUCCUGUAUUAUACAGUCAAUGAAAAAUAUACAAAUUUGGGUUUGCUGGACCAAAAUUUGUAUAGGAAUUGGCUAUUGUAUACAUCAAUAUAGACUGCCUUAACAAAGUGAAGGCCUUAAGAAAGCAUAAUUUACAGAUGAAGCAGCCACGGGUGUGUUUAUCUGAAACACUGGCUUUUGCCCAGAAGUGUUAAAAAAGCUUGUGUUUCUGAAGGUUCAGGGAGCCAGAGGACUGAUGGCCUCAUCCUCCACUUGAGGAGCUUUUAUAAGAGGCUCACACUGGGUGAAGAAGAAAUGACUUGUCUGAGGUCACAAGCAAAGGAACCAGCUGAUCCAAGAACUCAAUCUCAGAACACCCAUGCCACACUUUCCUUCUCCUUGGAGAGAUAAAUAAUUAGUGCUGGAGCCUAAUGAGGUGCUGGUAACAUCCUAAUGUCUUCUGAGUGGACUCUUGCCUCAGUUGCUAAGCUACUGAACCAUCUCCCCAUUACCCUCCCGAGUUCUGCCAUGAUAGGUGGGUGGAGGCGGCUCUCCGCAUCCACCUUCUUAAGCUUCCCCAGAGACCCCUGGAUGGAAAGAGUCAGAGCCUCUGCUAAAGGGACAAGGUGUCUGUGGGGUGUUUUUCUUGCUUCCCUGGGGUGGCCCAUGAGCAUCAGGGUUAAGGAACAUGACUGUUGUUAGACCCAAGUUGUUCAAAUGCCUUCUCUGCCCCUUGCUGGCUGAAGGACCUAGUAUACAUCAUUGUUAGUAAGCACUAAUGGUACUAAAUGCUCACUGGGUACUGUGUUAAGUGCUUCACAUAAAUCAUGGCAUUCAACCUUCAAAAUAAUCUUAUCAAGUGUUAUUGUCAUCUCUAUUGUUCAGAUGAGGAAAACAGAGCUGUGGUUAAGAUCCCAGCGCAGGCAGGUGAGUUCAAAUCCCAACUGUCGCAUUUCAGCGCAAUUUCUUCUAGUUUAAGUUCCCUCAUAGGAUUGUGGCAGGUUAAAUGAGACAGUGCAUAUGUUUAGAAAGCCCAGUGCCUGGCAUAUAGGGAGCACUUCCUAAUCAUUAGCUGCUUACAGGAGUGGCAAGACCUAGUUCCUGCUCUGGUGAAGCUCAAAACCUACUAGGGACUAAGACAUGCAAAUAGCUCUACUGCUACAUAAAAGUGGUAUAACAGAUGAAUGCAUGACUGGCUUUGAGAACACACGGGAGAAAGCGUCGCAGAGGAGUGCUGUUUAAGUUGGCCCUAAAGGGUGCGGAGGAGUUUGCCAGCCAAAAGAGGAUCCAUCUAGACACAUGGAUAACCUAUGCAAAAGCAGAGAGAAAUGGCAGAGGGGAAGGUAUGUUCAGAGAAGGGUAAGUAGUUCACUAUUGUUAGAACACUGGGAUCACAGCUAGGAACUGGGCUGCAUGGGACCUGGGGGAUGGUUUUGAACAUCUUGGAUGCCAGGCCUCUGCCUGUAAGAUGGGGGAUACAUGAAGGUACUAAUGAGUAACAGGCUCUGGCUUCUGUUUCAAAGAGAACGUCGACUUUUCGAUUCUUCCAACAUUCUGUAUUCAAUUUUUGGUGGGCAUUUUCUCAUCAGUACUUUCUUCUACAGAUUUUUCAGAACACACCAUUUCCUAGUCCUGUCUGAGUCAUCCCAGACCUCUGGGAGCUGGCCAGACUUGAAGGGUAGUCCUCACCAUCCCUCCAGUCAAGACAGACCUGUGAAGGCAACAUGCCUUUUACAAAAGGAACUUUCUCUACAGAAUAGGUUGGUAACUGACACUAGCUAUGAAAAAGCUGUGGAAUCUAACAGGACCUGCUAGAACAAAUACUCCAGACUUCAAGUCUAACAUUUAGUAAACAGAUUUCUUCCCUUUCUUUAAAUGUAAUGAUGCAACAAUGUGGAACCAAGUGAAACUGGCUUUGUGAGUCACCUUCAGAAGCGGCGAAAGGUGGCUUCUCAUUUCCAAAGUUCACAGUUCAACAUGGCCUGCAUAAGUAAUACAAACUGACUGCCACUAAUCUCACCAGAAAUCACCUCUGUCAAGAACUGUGUGAGGAGAGAGGGGACAGAGAAGGAAAGAAAUACGUACCGACUUGCUCUAGUCGAGUGCAUUUCUAAUAGAGCAUGACAUAAAAAAAAAAAAAAAAAAAAAACCUCUCAGAUGCAAGAAAUGAAAGAACAAACAGAAAACAAAUCAAUCCUACAUAAUUACUUUUCUUCGAAGACACGUCAGCCUGUCUCUAUUUUUUGGACACACUUUUGGUUGAAACGUGGACACAGAAACAUGGAAUAAUUACAAAUGUGUGUGUAAUAUUCCUUGCCAAUAACAAUAUAAAUAUCUGGACGUAUAUAUCAACACAUACUUUGUUGCAUUAGAUUGAAAAAACUAAUGGGGGCUGACGAAAAGCCCUUGUUGUUGAGCAAUGUCAUCAACAUCCAGAUCCCCAAACAUCAUAUGCUUUCACAGGCCCCUCUACUCAGUUAUAAUACAGUGUGACAUUCAUUCUCUGAGUUUAUUAGGAUGCAAAUCGAGUUUCUGGACAGACCUGGAAAAGAAUCCCUUUAGUUUAGGGCCUCUGAGAAGACAGAUGAAUCAACUUCACUCCGGGUCGUAGGAGGAUGCACCGGCCAGCGAGUCUAACAAAGCUGCCUGCAUCCUUUUGAAAAAAAAACUGACCUUGCUGGGUGUGGUGGCUCACGCCUGUAGUCCCAGCACUUUGGGAGGCUGAGGUGGGUGGAUCACCAGAGGUCAGGAGCUUGAGACCUGCCUGGCUAACAUAGUGAAACCCCGUUUCUACUAAAAAAAACCAAAAAAAACAAAAAAAAACAAAAUGAGCUGGGCGUGGUGGCAGGCGCCUGUAAUCCCAGCUACUCGGGAGACUGAAGCAGGAGAAUUGCUUGAACCCGGGAGGCAGAGGUUGCAGUGAGCCGAGACUGUGCCAUUGCACUCCAGCCUGGGCAACCGGAGUGAAACCCUGUCUCAAAAAAAAAAAAAAAAAAAAAAAGAAAAAAGUUGACCUCUCUGAAAAGAAAAGCAGUGGCCACAUUGGCUCAAGGAAGAAGAGAAUGCUCUGAAAUGCAAAAAUAUGACUGGAAAAAAAAAGGGCUUAAUUUCUCAGUGCGAAUUAUAAAACUGCAGCACUAAAAUUUAGUGAAUACUUAAAAUUUUGCUAAGGAAACACAUGGAAACCACUUUGUCCUCAAUGAGUUUUUAGGCAUAAAUGUUCAGGCAAACGUGGCAUAUUUAUCAAAACCUUUGUCCCCCACGACAAGUUCAGAGACAUGUUGCAGUGACUCUAAUAUCCUACUCACAGCAUAUUCUUACAUAUUUUAGAAUCAAAUAAAGGUGAAAUUCAAGCGAAGAACACAGUAUUGCCUCUUCCUGAUUAUGGGUCACCCCAAACUGACACAAGAUGAAACAAAACCAACAACAACCUUUGGAGAGAAAGCCCAAGGUGACAAUGCCUUUCUCAGUUGGGGUUCCCUGUGGUAACAGGACUUUAACCAUAAAUAAGACAGACUGCACAAUCCACACAGUUAAGAAACAAGAGGAUGUGAGGUGGAAGAGGGGUAAGAAAUGUAAUCUUUCAUUUUUAUGACUUAGUGGGCAAUUCUUCGGACAGACCCACACAUCUUUGGCCUUCAUGCCUUUGGGGGAAUGCUUCCAACAACCGCUGACAGAGGCCAGUGGGAAAUGUGACUUAGAGAAUCCAACCAGUUUCCUACCUUUCUGCUUGAUGCAAAAUUGGGGCACCCUUUAUGCGAUUUCCUACUGUCCUCCAGGACUGUCAGCUCUUCAGGAUGUCACCAAGUUGAUAGCGACUUGUUCUUUUUAGGAGGAUUUGGGAGUUCAAUGUACAUCGUGAGUAAAAUCUUCCCUUAUGUCACUCAAGCCUGGAACAGUCUCCUGUGGCCACAACACACACCACCUUGGUUCAGAGCAUAGGAUGACGUGACCAUGGCAUAUAGACUGCACUGCUGCAAAGUUUCUUCAAUGGCCACGAGCCAUCCCCCAGGAGAACACACAGUUGAAGGGGCACCAGCCCCUGCUUCUCUGCUGCAAAGUGAGCCAGAUAACCAGGAAAACCCAGAUAAAUCCUCUGGUCAAGGUACAGCAGGAAGUCAAGGCUGCUGCAGAAGUGAACUCACUCAGGAGUUCUGGAGCUGACUCUGGCUAGUCCCAGUCAACAGAGCACACCUCACUGGGGAGUACUGCAAAGAUGUUGCUAAGCUAAUCAAACAAGGGCUCAGAUCUAGCAGGCCAUGGGGACAGAGGCAGCAGCAGGAAAAGGUGGGCCUGAGUUAAAGAGGAGUCAAAAGGUCCCAGGGGCCCCCUGCCAGCCUCGCCAGGGAAAACUGGUGUCACAGACUUUUGCCAUUUCUACUUCCUAAAGCCAGUGCUGAGGACUGCUUGAAAGAGAGAGAGACAGAAGAGAUAGCGUGGGAGUCGCUGUCUGCAGCUCAACUCAACACACGCCUCUCCAUCUACCUGCUGCUUGAAAUACGGGCCAUGGAGCAGUAGUUUCAACAUCACCUGGAAGCUGUCUUAAAAAGCAAUAUCCGAGACCUUCUAAAUCAGACUCAACAUUUCCAUAAACCCCCCAGGUGAUUUGUGUGCACACUAAAGAAAAAGAAGCACUGGACCCGGGCAGUGGUCUCUGUAGAGGGGAGCACAGAUGAUCCAGGAGUGAAAACGCAAGUGCUUCUACGUAUAUUUAUUUCUCAUCAAGAUCUUUCUGAUUCCUAUGUUUUUGCACGCUAUAGAGUAUAUGCAAUAUUUCAAUAGCAUGGCACAUAUAUAUUUUAAAAACAACUACAACCAAAUCCAGUUUACAGACCAUUAUCGAAAUCAGAAAUUCCUAAACUUUCUUAUUAACCUCUUUGGAGAAACGAGUGAAAGCUAGGGACCUCAUCUCACAUAUGUGCAAAAUUCACAUCCAGCAUGAGUUGGCUCACAGACCUCGAGGCCCCACCUUAGCAGUGACUUUGCUAAAACAGGGCAGAAGUAGAUCCUGGCUGAGCAGAUGCUUCAACACACUCUACAAUGAUUUCUACAUUGCAAGACUUGUCUGUUUGCUAUAAACCAAUUCCGCAGUGGCUCAUGGCAUUGCUACAAUUCACGUUACCCUGAGUUUUAGCACACAGGCUCAAUCUCACCACUGCUUGGGUCUUGCUUUCACCAAACUCCUAGCAGAGAGAUUGAUCACGUGGAGAAUUUCUGUGUGGUGGUGAAACAGGCUACCAAGGUUUGUGUGUCUUUUGCAAAAUGCAAUGUGACUUUCCACAAGUUUAAUAAAAUUCCAUCUAAUACUAAUUUCCAGAGCAUUUUGGUUGAAAAAGAUCUAUACGUAUAUAAAGUCCAGGAGCAUUUUAAUUUGAAAGGCCUAUAAUAGCCCUAAUAAAAUACAUACUCCGAUGCACAAAGAGCCAAGGAUUAUAACAAUAGUGUACUUAUCACCCUUAAACCAAUAGAGAUAUGUAAAAUUUUAAUUAUAAUCCAUGGCUACGCUUGUUUGAAAUGGACGCAGGCAGGGCACACUUCUGAAGAAAGGCUGCACACGUUCGAAAAUUGACAGUUCCUGUGUCUGAAACUGGUCUUGCCUGAAUUGUCUUUACUGUGGUUCAACUGUCAGUGUGGAAUUGCAGCAAAUAUUUCUAGCAUUAGCAGGAAGCUUUUUGUCCACCUUCUGAAAGAUGAAACACAUCCUAACACACAAGAGACAGUUCUCUAGACAAAGCCCCUUUAAGCUCUUUCUUAGAAUGAAACAGAUGGUGAAAGGAGAUGGACUGAUAUCCAGGAAUUCUCAAACCUCAGAAUACAGGCAGAUCCUCUGGAGAGCCUGACCAAAAUGCUUAUUCCAAGGCCUCAGCUUCAUACACGCAAGAUGUAUUUAGUGAGGCCCAAAUCUUGCAUAUUUUUAAAAAACAGACUUUACUUUUUAAGAGAUUAUUUCUCUAACACUGUACAGAAAUUACAGAGUUCCUUUAUAUCCCCUCUUCCCCCCAACACUUUGCUCUAUUAUUAUGUACACUUUUUUCUUAGAAACAGGGUCUUGCUUUGUCACCCAAGGUAGACUGUACACUGCUGUCCUAAACUCCUGGGCUCAAGGGAUCCUCCCGUCUCAGCCUCCUGAGCAGCUGGGACUACAGGCGCAUGCCACCAUGCCCUAAUUUUUAAAUUUUUUGUAGAGAUGGAGUCUUGCCACAUUGCUCAGGAUAGUCUUGAACUAGGCUCAAGCCAUCUUCCCACAUCAGCCUCCAAAGUGUUGGGAUUACAGGCGUGAGCCACUGCUCCUGGGCUAUUAUUAAUAUUUUGUAUUAGUGUGGUUCAUUGUUGCAACUGAUGAACCAAUAUUAAUACAUUAUUAUUAACUAAAGUCACAUUAGGGUUCACUCUGUGUCUUACAGCUCUACUGAUUUUGAUACAGAAUGUCACCUACCCACCAUUACAGUAUCACAGAAUAUAAUUCCACCACCUUAAAAAUGCCCCAUGCUCCACCUAUUCAUCCUUUCCCCCAAGUCUGCAUUUUUAACAGACAUGCAAGUAAUUCUCUUGCAGGUAGUCAGGCCAAAACUGUGAGAAAUGUUGCCUUAAAUCAUGAGACCUGGGCGGAAGAACUGUGUGCUAGAUUGGAUUCAGUUUCCCUAAGAAUUAGUUGACUAUAAUGUGGCUACACUGUAACAGUAAUUUAAACUUCAGAUCCUCUUAGUAACUACUCUUGGCCCCCUCUGUGUUAGGGGACAAUAUCCACAUUAACCUAGGUUGAAGCUGAUCCCCAAUGUUUCCUCCAUCUCAAAUCAAGGCUUGAUAAAAGUUGUUACUACUUUAAGUUUCUUCUAAAAUAUCAAGUGACUCAUGGUCUCAUAGUUAAAUGCCUACCGGCCUCAGGACAGUCCGACUGUUGGAAACUCAGAUGGCUGGCAAGUGGCAAGAGGGAGCAGUAUUAGGCAUGCUGAAUUCAAAGCAUUAUGGACAACACACAGGUAGCUCAGUGUGGCAUCAUAAUCAGAUGCUCUUCCUCUGGAAAAGCCUUCUACGUUGUCAACAGAAUAUGACAGAAGUGGAUCCUGGCUGAGUAGAUCCUUCAACGUAUUCUGCAAUGGUUUCUACAUUGCAAGACUUGUCUGUUUGCUAUAAACCAAUUCCGCAGUGGCUCAUGGCAAUGCUACAAUUCACAUGUUACCCUGAAUUUUAGCACACACGCUUAAUCUCACCACUGCUUGGGUCUUGGCUUUCACCAAUCUCCUAGCAGAGAGAUUGAUCAAGUAGAGAAUUUCUGUGUGGUGGUAAAACAUACUACCAAGCUUCAUGCGUCUUUUGGAAAAUGCAUUCUCCCGAACACUUCUGAUGCACUGAAACACACCUGCCAAUCAUCAUCUGUGGGCUGACUGCAGCUGAAAGAAUGCCACGGUGUACUGAGAAUAGACAGAAUGAGAAGGCGACUAAUUUGUAAUUGUGAGACAAUCCCUGCUGUAGACAAAGGCAAAAAGCAGACCUUGGGAACAUCAUUCAACCUCAGCGAACAACUAGAUUUCUGGAAGCACUGUAGGGAGGCUGCAGGAAGGGCUCACAUAGAGUCACAUGUAGGACUUUGCCCAGAGGAGGCCUAUGUUUAAGGUGGUGGCAUUUGUGCAACAAACAUUUAUGUAGUACCUACUGAGAGGCAGGCACUAGCCUGGGUGUUGGGGACAUAAAAAUCAGACUCAGUCCUUGAGCUUGAGGGGCUUAGUGUCAGCUUGGGGCAAGCAGAUGUGUAAAUAUUUGCAUGGGGUUCAGUAAAGGCCAAAGCACAGAGAGGCCAGAAAAGGCUCCUUAGAGAAAGAAAGCCUCCCAUAGCAUCUUGAAGGUGUCUGCCAGGCAAUAUUGGCUUGGGGGAGGGAGAUCAGGUAGUUCACACAGACACGCAUGUACAAACACAAAGGACCCAACAUGUAAAGUGAACUCGGUGUAUGGUUUUCUAUGCUAAGUUUCUACCAGGUGAUAUUUUCAUCAAGACAGUGAUUAUUCUGGGCACUUAUUCUAAAUGGGAUUCAAAAAAUAAACCACCAAUACCAAGGAAACAGAUAUAUAGACCUUUGGCCUUCAAGGGUAGAGGAUUAAGCAAAACUAGGUGACUAUCGGAUGCUCAAAUUAGCAGCCAUUGAAUCCACAAGAACAGCAGACAUGACAGCUGACAACAUGAAAUGCUGGCCCUGGUCACUCGUCCAGAUGUCACCUUCAGAAACUGUACACAGGCAGCUGAGAACACUGGUUGUCUGUAGGAAUGAUCCUAUCUCCAGGGAGGGAGCAGGAAUUUGAAAAGUAUGUUCAAGGCCCAAUGUUUUUGAUAAUGCAUUCUGUAGCUAAAGUUUGACAAAAUUUGAGUUGUUGUGGAGCUAUUAAAGAUACAGUGAUUCUGAAAAGCCACAUCUAAUUUUACCCUCCAGCUCUGCACCUCCUCACCCCCAAGUCAGGGUGUGAGAUCUUUCAGGAUGGGGCAUGACAUCUAAAAAGAAAAAAGUUUGGGCCAGGCACAGUGGCUUAUGCCUGUAAUCCCAGCACUUUGGGAGGCCAACGUGGGUGGAUCACCUGAGGUCAGGAGUUCAAAACCAGCCUAGCCAACAUGGUGAAACCCCGUCUCUACUAAAAAUACAAAAAUUAGCUGGACAUAGUGGCACGUGCCUGUAAUCCCAGCUACUUGGGAAGCUGAGGCAGGAGAAUUGCUUGAACCCAGUAGACGGAGGUUGCAUGAGCCAAGAUCGUGCCACUGCACUCCAGCCUGGGUGACAGAGCAAGACUGUCUCAAAACAGAAAAAAGUUUGAAAAACAUUGAGUUAAAAUAUGUGAGGAUGGAAAUCAGUCAUUGUCUUCCUGGAGAGUUCAGAUUUUGAACUAAUUAAGGUACCAGAUUUCCAUAUUAACAGGAACUAUCCAAAAGUGUGUUGUACAUCCACAAAAGUUGCAUAUGAUACAUUCACAUGGGGGGAAACAAGGCUGUGUGGCUGGGGUGUUACCGGGGGGCCCACCCAUGCCCUGAGCCAGGAAAGGGAAAUCUCACAGCUCUCUCUUUGGGGUGUAAAAAGGCUUUUUUAUACCCUGCAAAAUAGGUCCCAAACCCAUCUCUCCAUCCCCUUGCCCCCUAAAAAGAAAACAGGCCAUGGUAGAAAGUCUUAAGAUAAAAUCCCACAGUGAAAAGGCACCCUAUGCAAACCACAGGCCACAAGAAAAGAACAAUCACUCUAACCUCUUCAGCUUGGCACAUACCACAUAACCCCCGUCCCUCGCAUAGUGAGCAAUGGAAAAAUGCCCUUUUCUACUAAGGUUGGCAAAAGUGUGUCCUACUCAAAAACGUGCCUGUGGGGCCAGACAUGACACAAACUCCCCAAAACCAGAUGAUGUGCUCUCAAUGACUAAAACACUUGUGCUUAUCUUCACCUGGGCAUGCAGUGUUCCCACACCAUGAUGGUCUGCCUCAUCUAGCAUAUUAAUGUCGAAAUACAGGAUGUCUUUUAGAUCAUCUCCCCCACCUCCCACUUGAGGACACCACACUGAGAAGGUGUGAACUCUAAAACCUCAUUUUAAGUGCAACAGAGCAUUGAGAAAAACAUUCAUGAUAGGCAGUUUCAUGGAACUACAGAACAUUAGAUCUGGGGGGAUUUCAAAGAUUACUUGGUUUAAUGAUUUUUCAGAUGCAAAAUGAAGACUCAGAGAAUUGGAGUGAUUUGUCCAAGAAAAUACAAGUAGAAAGUAGUCACUAAGGUUUUUUUCAUUUAAAUGUAUUUGUGUGUUCAAUAAAUCCUUUUUCUGUCUUUUAUGAUAAAAUUGAAGCCUGGCUCCCUUAUUUCACAUUUAUUAUAACUGUUGGCUUGUCUUUCUUCUUGUGCUCCAGCCUUCACCCAACAAGUUCAAUAAAGGUAGCUCUGUUAUUAUUAUUUCAGAACCAAUACUUUUGCUUCAAAAUCCCCAGUCCCUAUAACUGUGCCUUCAACUCUCGAGAUAGGUACCUACCAAGUGUUUCUUGGUAUACUGAAGAAAGAAUAAAUAACAAUCAACAAUUAAAUUGUUGGACUGGGUGCAGUGCCUGUAAUCUCAGCACUUUGGGAGGCUGAGGCAAAUGGAUCCCUUGAGGCCAGGAGUUCAAGACCAGCCUGGCCAACAUGGUGAAACCCCAUAUCUACUACAAAUACAAAAAUUAGCCAGGCAUGGUGGCGCAUGCCUGUAAUCCCAGCUAUUUGGGAGCGUGAGACAGGAGAACCACUUGAACCCAGGAGGUGGAGGUUGCAGUGAGCUGAGAUCAUGCCACUGCACUCCACCCUGGGCAACAGAGCAAGACUCUGUCUCAAUAAAAACAAAAAACUGCUUUCACUGUAGUCCUCCCUUGUCUGUGGUUUCACCUUCCAUGGUUUUAGUCAUCCACAGUCAACUGUGGUCUCACAUUGGGUGAGUAUGGUACAAUAAGAUAUUUUGAGAGAGAGAGAGACCACAUUCACAUAACUUUUAUUAGAGCAUAUUGUAACAAUAGUUAUAUUUUAUUGUUAGUUACUGUUGUUAAUUUCUUUUUUCUUUUUUUCUUUUUUUUUUUGAGACAGAGUCUUGCUCUGUCACCAAGGCUGGAGUGCAGUGGUGCUAUCUCGGCUCACUGCAAGCUCCGCCUCCCGGGUUCACGCCAUUCUCCUGCCUCAGCCUCCUGAGUAGCUGGGACUACAGGCACCUGCCACCACGCCUGGCUAAUUUUGUUUUUGUAUUUUUAGUAGAGAUGGGGUUUCACCAUGUUAACCACAAUGGUCUCGAUCUCCUGACCUCAUUAUCCGCCCGCCUCAGCCUCCCAAAGUGCUGGGAUUACAGGUGUGAGCCACUGCGCCCAGCCAACUGUUGUUAAUUUCUUACUGUGUCUAAUUUAUAAAUUAAACUUUAUCACAGGUAUGUAUGCAUAGGAAAAAAACCCCAUAGUUUAUAUAGAGUUAAGCACAGUCUGCAGUUUCAGGCAUCCACCGAGGGUCUUGGAAUAUAUCUCCUAUGGAAAAGGGAGGAAUAGUGUAUGUAUAUUUUAUGCAUUAAGCAUCUGGAGAACACAAAGAGAAAUAAGAUGCAUCCUUGCAUCUGCUUUAGAGAUAAGUCAAAUACUAUCAAUAGUAGACAAUGAUACAGAAAGGGUCCAAAAAGGACUUCCAGGAAGAUGUGGGCCUUCCGGGUCUCAUUUAAGGGACAGCAUGGCUCCAGCAAAGAGUCCACUGUAUUGGGAACAAUGUUACUGCCACACCCUAAGGCAUCCUGAACUUGAGCUGAAGCGAGUUUCAUUUCUCCAUGGCCAAAUUUCCCAUUG